rnacentral:rRNA from 1 species
CCUACGGGAGGCAGCAGUGGGGAAUAUUGCGCAAUGGGCGAAAGCCUGACGCAGCGACGCCGCGUGAGGGAUGAAGGUCUUCGGAUCGUAAACCUCUGUCAGCAGGGAAGAACGGUCCCUGUGCUAAUCAGCAGUGCAUUGACGGUACCUGCAAAGGAAGCACCGGCUAACUCCGUGCCAGCAGCCGCUGUAAUACGGAGGGUGCGAGCGUUAAUCGGAAUUACUGGGCGUAAAGCGCUCGUAGACGGUAUGUCAAGUCAAGGGUGAAAUCCCCGCGCUCAACGGGGGAAUUGACUUUGAUACUGGCAGACUGGAGUGUGUGAGAGGAUAGUGGAAUUCCAGGUGUAGGAGUGAAAUCCGUAGAUAUCGGGAGGAACAUCAGUGGCGAAGGCGACUAACUGGAAUAUAACUGACGCUGAGGAGCGAAAGCGUGGGUAGCAAACAGGAUUAGAUACCCGUGUAGUC